UGAACUUAACAAACCUAAAGCACUCAUCUGUUUUGCACCGCCGCCCCUCGCUCCUUGAAGUUUCUAUCCCUUUCUUCCCUCUCAUUCAGUCGGUCGCCAUUUUUGGGUGGAGAUUGAUUAUUCCGGAGUUCAAUGGCCCAGGCGCGACGCUUGGUGAGCAAGUGUCUUGCCGUCGAGCCUAGUUACUGCUUUCCUUCACAAAGCUCGUCUUUCCAAUUCUGUGUAUCCACGACGUCUAAGAAGGAAGAAGGAUGUUCAUGAUAGAGCCUUGUUCUAAUACAGACUAUUGCAAUACAAUGUGUCAAUUGCAGAACGUGUUGUGAAUCCGCCAAAGCAACCUGUUCUGUCUUUGCUGAUACUCAGAGCAGUGAAAUAAAAGAUCGCAUUUUUUAUGAAUUUAAUAGCCUCUUUAUGGUGUACCAAAAGCCAUCUUACAUGUUCACUGAUAAAGAACACCGGGGACCAUUUGAGUUUUCAGAUGAGCUUGGCAACUUAUCUAUUGGGGCAGAAUCUACAAAUGAUGUUGUACGAGCAAAUAGAGUUGAGGCAAAUGACAAGUAUCUGCUCCUAAGUAUUUAAGAGAAAGAAGAAAGUAGAGGUGCCAGUAAUAACGGCUAAAUAAACAAAACUGAUGGCAGUGACGAGUGAUGAUAUUGUUGAUGAUAAGUAUAUUGUUUUUUUGUUAUUAUGAUAUUUUAUUUUUUUAUAUAGUAUAUUAUUUUAUAAUCCUUUACUGUCAUAUCUAUAUAUAAUUUUGACUGAUAAUUAACG